GCGGACAUAGCUCAGUUGGGAGAGCGUCAGACUGAAGCGGGUAUGAAUCCGAGAAACUUCAUUCAAUCUAUCUGAAGGUCGUGUGUUCAAUCCACACUGGCCGCA
rnacentral:tRNA from 1 species